rnacentral:lncRNA from 1 species
CCAGGAUUUCUGGGAGUUGAAGUCCAAGAACUUUUGGAGGCCCAAGGUUGGGGGGAAAAUCACUGUUAUAAAGGGUUAAACAACAAGAGAUGGAUUCCUAGAAAGGAACUUAGAUUAGAAAUUCUGGUGGUUUGAACAGAGAGAGAAGAUUCCUAGAGAGUGAUCCUCCGAGACAAGAAUAGAGAUCAGAGAGACACGGAUUCCUAGAGGGAAAACACGCCAGACAAGAGAGAGAGUCUGGCUUUUUAGCGAAUGAAGAGAGGCUGGAAAGGAAUUGAUUUUCCUUUGGAUGUUCUUUGCCUUAAGAGAGAGCCUGGCAGAAAAAAGAAAGCCAUUUUUGAUCACGUCGGAGGCAGGUUGUAUAAAGAAUUGGAGAACAGAGAAGAGGAGCUGACCAACCUAGAAGUUAGAACUUCUCAACCCCCUCAGGCCGGUUCUGAAUGACUCUGGGAUAAAAAUGGGGAGACCCCCUUCAAUUUAGACGUCCAGCGCUAAAGCCACAGCAACAAGCAAA